CAAGCGGUGCAUGGUUGUCGUCAGCUCGUGUCGUGAGAUGUUGGGUUAAGUCCCGCAACGAGCGCAACCCUUGAUCUUAGUUGCCAGCAUUCAGUUGGGCACUCUAAGGUGACUGCCGGUGACAAACCGGAGGAAGGUGGGGAUGACGUCAAAUCAUCAUGCCCCUUAUGACCUGGGCUACACACGUGCUACAAUGGGCAGAACAAAGGGCAGCGAAGCCGCGAGGCUAAGCCAAUCCCACAAAUCUGUUCUCAGUUCGGAUCGCAGUCUGCAACUCGACUGCGUGAAGCUGGAAUCGCUAGUAAUCGCGGAUCAGCAUGCCGCGGUGAAUACGUUCCCGGGCCUUGUACACACCGCCCGUCACACCACGAGAGUUUGUAACACCCGAAGUCGGUGAGGUAACCUUUGGAGCCAGCCGCCCGAAGGUGACCACCAACUGCA
rnacentral:rRNA from 1 species